rnacentral:rRNA from 1 species
GCGGCGGACGGGUAAGUAAUGCUGGGAAACUGCCUGAUGGAGGGGGAUAACUACUGAAACGGUAGCUAAUACCGCAUAACGUCGCAAGACCAAAGAGGGGGACCUUCGGGCCUCUUGCCAUCAGAUGUGCCCAGAUGGGAUUAGCUAGUAGGUGGGGUAACGGCUCACCUAGGCGACGAUCCCUACUGGUCUGAGAGGAUGACCAGCCACACUGGAAACUGAGACACGGUCCAAACUCCUACGGGAGGCAGCAGUGGGGAAUAUUGCACAAUGGGCGCAAGCCUGAUGCAGCCAUGCCGCGUUGUAUGAAGAAGGCCUUCGGGUUGUAAAGUACUUUCAGCGGGGAGGAAGGUGUUGUGGUUAAUAACCACAGCAAUUGACGUUUACCCGGCAGAAAGAAGCACCGGUAACUCCGUGCCAGCAGCCGGGUAAUACGGAGGGUGCAAGCGUUAAUCGGAAUUACUGGGCGUAAAGCGCACGCAGGCGGUCUGUCAAGUCGGAUGUGAAAUCCCCGGGCUCAACCUGGGAACUGCAUUCGAAACUGGCAGGCUAAGUCUUGUAAGGGGGGUAGAAUUCCAGGUGUACGGUGAAAUGCGUAAG